AUACGGAGGGGGCUAGCGUUGUUCGGAUUUACUGGGCGUAAAGCGCGCGUAGGCGGUAUAUCAAGUUAGGCGUGAAAGCCCCGGGCUCAACCCGGGAACUGCGCUUAUUACUGAUAAACUAGAGUCCGGGAGAGGGUGGCGGAAUUCCCAGUGUAGAGGUGAAAUUCGUAGAUAUUGGGAAGAACACCAGUGGCGAAGGCGGCCACCUGGCCCGGUACUGACGCUGAGGUGCGAAAGCGUGGGGAGCAAACAGAAGUAGAAACCCCUGUAGUCC
rnacentral:rRNA from 1 species